rnacentral:rRNA from 1 species
AUUGAACGCUGGCGGCAGGCCUAACACAUGCAAGUCGGACGAGCGGCGGACGGGUGAGUAAUGUCUGGGAAACUGCCCGAUGGAGGGGGAUAACUACUGGAAACGGUAGCUAAUACCGCAUACCAUCGGAUGUGCCCAGAUGGGAUUAGCUAGUAGGUGGGGUAAUGGCUCACCUAGGCGACGAGCCCUAGCUGGUCUGAGAGGAUGACCAGCCACACUGGAACUGAGACACGGCCCAUACUCCUACGGGAGGCAGCAGUGGGGAAUAUUGCACAAUGGGCGCAAGCCUGAUGCAGCCAUGCCGCGUGUAUGAAGAAGGCCUUCGGGUUGUAAAGUACUUUCAGCGGGGAGGCGUUACCCGCAGAAGAAGCACCGGCUAACUCCGUGCCAGCAGCCGCGGUAAUUC